rnacentral:rRNA from 1 species
AGCGAACGCUGGCGGCAGGCCUAACACAUGCAAGUCGAACGGACCCUUCGGGGUUAGUGGCGGACGGGUGAGUAACACGUGGGAACGUGCCUUUAGGUUCGGAAUAGCUCCUGGAAACGGGUGGUAAUGCCGAAUGUGCCCUACGGGGGAAAGAUUUAUCGCCUUUAGAGCGGCCCGCGUCUGAUUAGCUAGUUGGUGAGGUAAUGGCUCACCAAGGCGACGAUCAGUAGCUGGUCUGAGAGGAUGACCAGCCACAUUGGGACUGAGACACGGCCCAAACUCCUACGGGAGGCAGCAGUGGGGAAUCUUGCGCAAUGGGCGAAAGCCUGACGCAGCCAUGCCGCGUGGAUGAUGAAGGUCUUAGGAUUGUAAAAUCCUUUCACCGGUGAAGAUAAUGACUGUAGCCGGAGAAGAAGCCCCGGCUAUCUUCGUGCCAGCCGCCGCCGUAAUAC